CGGUAGUCAGCAAUGUGACACCGGACGAGGGGUGCCGUACCCGACCAGCGACAAGACGGCACCGU
rnacentral:ncRNA from 1 species